CUCCUCCUUUGAGGAUUUUAUAAAUCAGCGAGAUGAAGAAAAUUAUCGGCAUUGGGUUGUUGAAAGUGCGACUUCCAUUGAACACGCCAAUGCAAGGCUCAUUGCAGCCAGCGGAGAAGACUUGUAUUCACCAGCGCUCAGGUUCAGGCAUGUGAAGUUCACCUGUGUACUGGGGGGACACAGCCGUCGCUCAAAAAAUACAGUUCAACCGUUGGACAGGUUCACAGUGAGGUGUGGAGCCUUCAUCGAAUUGUGCGCCAGCAGGACAGAGUUACAAAUUGUUGACAUUUGUCAAUUUCAUAACCAUGACUAAAUUUUAGGUUUUGGUAUUUAUCACAGAUUUACGAUCCAGGCCACUUUGAUUUAGCUAGGGUUUAAAAUUUGAGCGACAGG